rnacentral:rRNA from 1 species
GAUUUCUGGUUUAAUGCACCUGGCCCGCGAACCGUCAGGUUUGUGAGUGCCGGCGCGCGUUUACCAUCCUUCUAGAAAUCGAUUCUGCCAUCACUUGGUUGGGAUCGCGAUCUAGAUCAUUUACUUUGAAAAAAUUAGAGUGUUUGAAGCAGGCUUUUGCUAUGAAUACAUUAGCAUGGAAUAAUAAUCUAGGACUUCGGUUCUAUUUUGUUGGUUUCUAUAACUGAAGUAAUGAUUGAUAGGGACAGUUGGGGGUGCUAGUAUUGGCCGGCCAGAGGUGAAAUUCUUGGAUUCGGUCAAGACUAACUUAUGCGAAAGCAUU